UACGUAGGUGACAAGCGUUGUCCGGAUUUACUGGGCGUAAAGAGCGCGCAGGCGGUCGAUCAAGUCGAGUGUGAAAGCCCCCGGCUCAACUGGGGAGGGUCAUUCGAAACUGGUCGACUCGAAGGCAGGAGAGGGUAGUGGAAUUCCCGGUGUAGUGGUGAAAUGCGUAGAUAUCGGAAGGAACACCGGUGGCGAAAGCGGCGUACUGGGGCUUAACUGACGCUGAGGCACGAAAGCCAGGGGAGCGAACGGGG
rnacentral:rRNA from 1 species